CCCUUAGAUGUUCUGGGCUGCACGCGCGCUACACUGAAGCUAUCAACACGUUUUCCCUCCCUGAGAAGGGCGGGUAACCUUUUGAAUCAGCUUCGUGGUAGGGAUCGGGGCUGGCAAUUGUUCCCCGUGAACCAGGAAUUCCUAGUAGACGCGAGUCAUAAGCUCGCAUCGAUUAAGUCCCUGCCCUUUGUACACACCGCCCGUCGCUACUACCGAUUGAACGUUUUAGUGAGGCAUUUGGACCGACGCAUCUCAGUUUAACCGCUGGUUUGUGUUGGAAAGACUUCCAAACUUGAGCGUUUAGAGGAAGUAAAAGUCGUAACA
rnacentral:rRNA from 1 species